UUAAACAGCCGGCGGUACCUUGAUGUCGGCGAUGAGGCGCGCGGUGGCGUGGCCCAGCAGGCGCGCGCGGCGCACCAUCUCGGGCGCGUCGGGCGCGUCGGCCACGCGCUCGCUGGCGCUCACCACGCUCUCCACGGCCUGCUCCAGCACCGUGGCCUGCGCGCGCCGGUCUGCGGGCACGGGGCCGUUAGGGGGGCUCGCGCGGUCGCCGGGGCGGUCGGCCGGGGUCGGCCGGGGUCUCACCUAGGUCGCAGUGCGCCAGGAGCCUCUCGAGCUCCUCGGACACCCGCUGCGCGGCCGCCGUCAGCUGCUCCACUCCGGGGCCCGCGGACUCCGGGGCCUGCUGGCACGCCGUCACCAGCUUCUCCACCGCCUGGGCCACUUGCCGAGCCGCGCUGUGUAUUACGGGCGUACCUUCGCGCAGGCGACGAGCUGGCUGGUGGCGAGCGCGCAGUGCGUGGCGGCGGCGAUGAUGCUGUUUUGCAGCGGCUGCUCGUCCUUGCAAAGAGCAGCCACGUUCUUCGCCUUCAGGACCAAAGCCGCGGUGGUGUUGGCGACCGCCUUGGCCAAGGAUAGCAGGAUGUCCUGAUUGGACAGAUAGGUGCGUUUAUGUUAUCUAUAACAUAUUUAUUCUUCUUCAUCGCAUAAUUAAAUCC